AUUGAACGCUGGCGGCAUGCUUUACACAUGCAAGUCGAACGGUAACAGGCCGCAAGGUGCUGACGAGUGGCGAACGGGUGAGUAAUGCAUCGGAACGUGCCCAGUCGUGGGGGAUAACUACUCGAAAGAGUAGCUAAUACCGCAUACGAUCUAUGGAUGAAAGCGGGGGACCGUAAGGCCUCGCGCGAUUGGACCGGCCGAUGUCAGAUUAGGUAGUUGGUGGGGUAAAGGCUCACCAAGCCAACGAUCUGUAGCUGGUCUGAGAGGACGACCAGCCACACUGGGACUGAGACACGGCCCAGACUCCUACGGGAGGCAGCAGUGGGGAAUUUUGGACAAUGGGCGCAAGCCUGAUCCAGCAAUGCCGCGUGCAGGAAGAAGGCCUUCGGGUUGUAAACUGCUUUUGUACGGAACGAAACGGCUCUGGUUAAUACCCGGGGCUAAUGACGGUACCGUAAGAAUAAGCACCGGCUAACUACGUG
rnacentral:rRNA from 1 species